rnacentral:rRNA from 1 species
AUUGAACGCUGGCGGCAGGCCUAACACAUGCAAGUCGAACGGUAACAGGAAGAAGCUUGCUUCUUUGCUGACGAGUGGCGGACGGGUGAGUAAUGUCUGGGAAACUGCCUGAUGGAGGGGGAUAACUACUGGAAACGGUAGCUAAUACCGCAUAACGUCGCAAGACCAAAGAGGGGGACCUUCGGGCCUCUUGCCAUCGGAUGUGCCCAGAUGGGAUUAGCUAGUAGGGGGGGUAGCGGCUCACCUAGGCGACGAUCCCUAGCUGGUCUGAGAGGAUGACCAGCCACACUGGAACUGAGACACGGUCCAGACUCCUACGGGAGGCAGCAGUGGGGAAUAUUGCACAAUGGGCGCAAGCCUGAUGCAGCCAUGCCGCGUGUAUGAAGAAGGCCUUCGGGUUGUAAAGUACUUUCAGCGGGGAGGAAGGGAGUAAAGUUAAUACCUUUGCUCAUUGACGUUACCCGCAGAAGAAGCACCGGCUAACUCCGUG